CCUACGGGAGGCAGCAGUAGGGAAUGUUGCGCAAUGGGCGAAAGCCUGACGCAGCAACGCCGCGUGAAAGAGACGCACUUCGGGGUGUAAAGUUCUGUCAGUGGGGACGAAAAAUGACGGUACCCACAGAGGAAGCACCGGCUAACUCCGGGCCAGAAGCCGCGGUAAUACGGAGGGUGCAAGCGUUGUCCGGAAUCAUUGAGCGUAACGAGUGCGUAGGCGGCCUGUCAAGGCAGGUGUUAAAGGCGCAGGCUCCACCUGUGUAUGGCACUUGAUACUUGCAAGCUGGAAUGCGGUAGAGGUAAUGGGCAUUCCUGUUGUAGCGGUGAUAUGCUUAGAUAUCAGGAGGAACCUCGGUGGCGUACGCGCUUUACUGGGCCGUAAUUGACGCUGAGGAACGAAAGCCCGGGUAGCAAAUGGGAUUAGCUACCCUGGUAGUC
rnacentral:rRNA from 1 species